CACGUAGGGUGCGAGCGUUGUCCGGAAUUAUUGGGCGUAAAGAGCUCGUAGGCGGUGUGUCGCGUCGGCCGUGAAAACCUGCAGCUUAACUGUGGGCGUGCGGUCGAUACGGGCAUGACUGGAGUUCGGCAGGGGAGACUGGAAUUCCUGGUGUAGCGGUGAAAUGCGCAGAUAUCAGGAGGAACACCGAUGGCGAAGGCAGCUCGCUGGGACGGUACUGACGCUGAGACGCGAAAGCGUGGGGAGCAAACAGG
rnacentral:rRNA from 1 species